rnacentral:rRNA from 1 species
ACAUGCAAGUCGAACGGUGAAGCAGAGCUUGCUCUGUGGAUCAGUGGCGAACGGGUGAGUAACACGUGAGCAAUCUGCCCCUGACUCUGGGAUAAGCGCUGGAAACGGCGUCUAAUACCGGAUACGAGCUGCGACCGCAUGGUCAGUAGCUGGAAAGAAUUUCGGUCAGGGAUGAGCUCGCGGCCUAUCAGCUUGUUGGUGAGGUAAUGGCUCACCAAGGCGUCGACGGGUAGCCGGCCUGAGAGGGUGACCGGCCACACUGGGACUGAGACACGGCCCAGACUCCUACGGGAGGCAGCAGUGGGGAAUAUUGCACAAUGGGCGCAAGCCUGAUGCAGCAACGCCGCGUGAGGGAUGACGGCCUUCGGGUUGUAAACCUCUUUUAGCAGGGAAGAAGCGAAAGUGACGGUACCUGCAGAAAAAGCGCCGGCUAACUACGUGCCAGCAGCCGCGGUAAUACGUAGGGCGCAAGCGUUAUCCGGAAUUAUUGGGCGUAAAGAGCUCGUAGGCGGUCUGUCGCGUCUGCUGUGAAAACCCGAGGCUCAACCUCGGGCCUGCAGUGGGUACGGGCAGACUAGAGUGCGGUAGGGGAGAUUGGAAUUCCUGGUGUAGCGGUGGAAUGCGCAGAUAUCAGGAGGAACACCGAUGGCGAAGGCAGAUCUCUGGGCCGUAACUGACGCUGAGGAGCGAAAGGGUGGGGAGCAAACAGGCUUAGAUACCCUGGUAGUCCACCCCGUAAACGUUGGGAACUAGUUGUGGGGUCCAUUCCACGGAUUCCGUGACGCAGCUAACGCAUUAAGUUCCCCGCCUGGGGAGUACGGCCGCAAGGCUAAAACUCAAAGGAAUUGACGGGGACCCGCACAAGCGGCGGGAGCAUGCGGGAUUAAUUUCGAUGCAACGCGAAGAACC